rnacentral:lncRNA from 1 species
GUCCGUAAACCCCAAAAAUCAAAGACUGGAAAAAUCAAAAACCCAAAAAUCAGAAGACCUAAAAAUCAAAGACCAAAAAAUCAAAGACCCAAAAAUCAAAAACCCGAAAAUCAAAAACCCAAAAAUCAAAAACCCAAAGAUCAAAGACCGAAAAAUCAAAAAUCCAAAAAUCAAAAACAGAAAAAUCAAAAACACAAAAAUCAAAAACACAAAAAUCAAAAACCCAAAAUCAAAAACCCAAAAAUCAAAAACCCAAAAAUCAAAAACCCAAAAAUCAAAAACCCAAAAAUCGAAGACCGAAAAAUCAAAAACCCAAAAAUCAAAGACCGAAAAAUCAAAAACCCAAUAAUCAAAGACCGCGAAAAAGCAAUAAUGACAUAGCCACGCCCUGCCUGGUUUUUUACUUUGUUUAUGUUACGUGCGUAUUUAUAUAAAGUCGUUG